AGACUUCUGCUCAGCACUGUGUGGGCACGCACAGAUUGUGUUUUGUUUACUUGUUUAUCACCUUCCUGUUGGUUUUGUUGAACUUGCUAGGCAUUGACGAUAUCACAAAAAUCCACAACAAAAGCAUGAUCAGCUAAAAUUCAAAGUGCAUGAUCCCAUCACAGCUGCCCUAAGGAAAUGCAGGUUUAUGAACUUAUUAUCAAAUUCAGGGAGUACACCUGCAUUUUGCAUCAUAAUCAGUGGCGGAGCGGGGGGGUGGCUUACUGGGCUUAAGCCCGGGUUGUUUUUUCAGAAGCCCGGGGUCUUUUGGAGUGUAAUUUUUUCAUAGUUAGAUGCCUGACUGACAACUGUAUAAAACAAAAAACUACACGCAAUAUUCGAAGCACAUAGUGCACACUGUGGGAAUUUACAACUUUGCGUAAAUCCCCCCUAAUAUUGGUAUGAUCCUCAGGCACUAAGCGGGCGGGGCAGCUGCUGCCUGCGAGUGCGCUGUUGGAGAAACGGAGCCAGGCAGACAGAUGAGAACUGAAGUUCAACCAGGUACCAAAGCAAAUCAUUCGUACACUGUAAAAUGUAAUAUUGUGUUUAAUUAAAAAUAUUAAAUAGGCUGAACUCAAUUUUUAUCAAUUUGUUAUUAGAACUCAAUUUAAAUAAGUUACCAGUACUUUUUAUGCAAAAAUGCUGAUAAACUCGAUUAAUUUGAGUUGUCCUAACUUAGAAAAACUAAGUAAGCUGGAAGUUUUGCUUCUCAGGGCGGAAGGAUGAAAGAUGUGUUUUGAAAAUGCCACGUCCCCCUCCCUCCUGGAUCAGUCCGCAUGUUCAUGGCGCCAGCAUUUGUUAUGGAAUAUAUUGAGCAAACCUGGAGAUAUUAUUGUUGUCAUUGCUGUGGAUCUUUACUGACUUGGCUCGGGACCAGCACUCCUGUUGGACAGAAAGACAUCAACUCAGUGGUAAGUAUUUUGGUUUUCCAAUAUAUUAGCAACUGUCAGUGACAUUUAUAUUAAUCAGGCUGAACUUUAAUCAUACUUUAGAUCAGCCUGUUUUACUUAUUGUUUUAUUUGUGCUUUGGUUUGGGGAAGUUGUUUCUUUACUGAUCUUUUCCUGUCUUCUGUUAUUAGACUUGAGAUAUGACUGCACUAUGCUGUUGCUGUGACUCCAGUUAAUUCUACAAGACAUGCUGUGUAAGUAAACAAACAACAACAGUUUGGUCUGCAUUUCUUGAAAGAUC
rnacentral:lncRNA from 1 species